GGGCCCGUAGCUCAGCGGCAGAGCGAUCGGCUCAUAACCGAUUGGUCGUUGGUUCGAAUCCAGCCGGGCCCACCA
rnacentral:tRNA from 2 species